rnacentral:tRNA from 1 species
GGGGCCGUGGUCUAGCUUGGCUAGGACACCGGCCUGGGGCGCCGGAGGUCCCGGGUUCAAAUCCCGGCGGCCCCACCA